GAUUAUUUAGUAUAAAUUAAUUACUCCAGACUGUAAAUCUGAAAAUGGCCAUGCCAAUAAUCA
rnacentral:tRNA from 1 species